rnacentral:miRNA from 1 species
UCACAACAACCUUGCAGGGUAGA